GGUAGGGAGAGGGAAAGGGGGCAACAGAGGAUAAUGUAAUGGAAGCAACUCAAAUGGAAGCGGACUCGAUCAAACCGAUGGAUGUUAGAAAUGGAUGGACACUACUGGCCCAAGAGAAUGAACGAACACAUGGACGACAAUGGAAGAUGGAUGUUGGGAACAAAAGAAUUGGAUGCUGAGAAUGAAAGAAUGGGCGAACAAUGGUAAAAGAUAGAUACAUGGAGCGAAUGAAUAGAUGGAUAGAAGAGGCGGCAGGACUGAGGAUGACGGUAGCGAGGCGGAGGAGGAAGUCGCCUGAGAGGUGGGCAGCCGUGAGAAGGAGGAGUAGGGCGAUGAAGGCCUCGAGGAGGCAGAAGGGAGGCACCGAGAUUAGGAAGUUGGGCGAUGGGAUGAGAGUGGGGUGAAAAUCUACUUUUAAAUUUUCUAGGCAAUCAUGAUCGCG
rnacentral:lncRNA from 1 species